rnacentral:rRNA from 1 species
GUGUCAGCAGCCGCGGUAAUACAGAGGGUGCGAGCGUUGUUCGGAAUUAUUGGGCGUAAAGCGCUUGUAGGCGGCCUGUUAAGUCCUGUGUGAAAGCCCUUGGCUCAACCAAGGAAGUGCGCAGGAAACUGGCGGGCUUGAGUGCCGGAGAGGGUCGCGGAAUUCCCGGUGUAGAGGUGAAAUUCGUAGAUAUCGGGAGGAACACCAGUGGCGAAGGCGGCGACCUGGACGGACACUGACGCUGAGACGCGAAAGCGUGGGGAGCAAACAGGAUUAGAUACCCUGGUAGUCCACGCUGUAAACGAUGGGUGCUAGGUGUGGCGGGUUUUGACCCCUGCCGUGCCGCAGCUAACGCAAUAAGCACCCCGCCUGGGAAGUACGGCCGCAAGGCUAAA